rnacentral:rRNA from 1 species
UACGAAGGGGGCUAGCGUUGUUCGGAUUUACUGGGCGUAAAGCGCACGUAGGCGGAUCGUUAAGUCGGGGGUGAAAUCCUGGAGCUCAACUCCAGAACUGCCUUUGAUACUGAGGAUCUUCGAGUUCGGGAGAGGUGAGUGGAACUGGCGAGUGUAGAGGUGAAAUUCGUAGAUAUUCGCAAGAACGAUCAGUGGCGAAGGCGGAGCUCACU